rnacentral:lncRNA from 1 species
UUUAGGGUUCUUGAGAGAAAGGAGAGAAAGGAGAAGAAGAAGCAAGAUUUCGUCAAAAGAUCGUCGUGGAUAUCGUCGGGGGUGAUCCCUUUUAGGUAUGUGAGUUCAUAGUGUUGGGUUGGUUCUUUCCCCCACACGCCAAGCUCGUUUAAUUUCGAUAAAAGAUUGAUUGUGUUUGAUUGAAGUUGUUGGUUGGAAUUAUUGAAGUUGUAGUUGUGUUGUGUUGUAGUUCUUGUUGGUUUGGUGUAUGUUUCCGGUUUUUGAGUUGAAACUAGUGUAUGUUAAGGGUUUUGAUGAUCCUAAGUGCUUAGGGGUUGAAGCUUUGAAUAUUGGAAGGGUUAGAGUUGGAGAAAAGGAGGAGAAAAGUCAAGUUUUCGAGGAAAAGGGCUGGGGCGUCGCGCCAGCCAGCGCGCCCCAAGAGGGACUCUGAGGUCCAGCCCCUGGGGCGCCACCCCUACCAGAGCCCCAACCAGACCUCUCUGAAGUUUGAGGUCUAGCGCUCCACGCCUCUCAGAGUGCCAAGCUUUCCCAUUCCUUCUCCACUUUCUCAUACAUGUUGCUAGGUGUUGUACCUAUGUUCCCUAGUUGUUUCCAACACCCCAAGGUACGUUUAAACGUCAAGAACUCGUCCAUAACACGUGAUCAAAUACUUUAAAUCCAUGAUUCCAAUUCAAGGAGAGUAAGUUUCUAAGUCAAGGGAAGUUAAGAGUUGAGUCUAGAAGUUCAAGAAGGGAGUCAAAGCACGUCUUUAAAGCUUUCAAAGAGUCUUUGUUGAAUGUUUAACUUCAAGUUAAGUCAAGUUUCAAGUUAAGUCAAGUUGCAAGAUAAGUCAAGAGUUUAAAGUUGUGUUCAUUUCUCAAAAGUUAUUAGGGAACUAUGUAUUCCCAAAGAAGUUUCCAAAUGUUUUUACAUUUGAGUAAGAAAGGAACUAUGAUUCCAAAAGAGCCUUUGGGCUAGUUUUCAAGAAAAAGGAACAUUGUUUCCAAGUGAGCCUUCGGGCAAAGUUUUGAGUAAUUAUCUCAAAUAAAGAAAGAUGUGUUUAAAACACUUAUGAGCUUAAGUAUUUUUGGGAGUAGUCUUGAGCACCGAAUUGGGGACACGAGUUCAUAUAAACUCAACUCUCCAUAAGAACCAUGCGCCAACAUGGGAGUUAACGGGUCAUACAUUUUAGAUGAAUCCGUAAGAUUAAGCUAGUGGAUCCACUUAGUAAAGUUAUCUUCCUAUAUCAACGGCAAGGUAUAGGAUGGUCCUUGGGCAACGUGAGGUAAAACGUUGUAUCACCACUAGGGCUCAUGGUGGUGAUUGUCGGUUGAAAGAGUCUCCCACUAAAGUUAUAUUACUUUUAUAUAAGUAAAGUUGAGUUGUUAUUGCUUUAUCUUUAACAAGCUAAGUUGUCUACACUAUUUUGCAAGCUUUAUAUAUUGCAUGUGUCGUAUUGCUUUAUAUAUUGAGUUCAGUUAUUCAUGAGUUGAACAGAGCCAAGGUAAGAGUUCCUUUGUACUCCUUCCAAGUUUAAGUUAUGGUUUAGCUUUCCAUCUCGCAUACUCGUACAUUCAAUGUACUGAUGCCAGUUGGCUUGCAUCUUAUUAUGAUGCAAACACAAGUACCCAGGGCCAACAUCCGGUUUGCCGUUGAUCCAGUUGAGUACUUCAGAGUCAGUGGUGAGCCUCUUUGCAUUCCGGAGGACUCGGUUAUUUUGUUCCCUCAAGUUUUGUUUUAUUAGGAUGUCGUAGGGUCUGUCCCAACAUCCAUCUCAGUAUUUUAGAGGCUUCAUAGACAGUCAGUCAGUUGGUUUGGAGUCUCUCAUCUAUGUAUAUAUGUAAAUAUUCUAUUUUGAGACUCGAGUUGCCUUUUGGCCAGAUUUUAUUUCAGUCAGGUUGUUUUAAAACCUUGCAUUGCAUUGAGUUUUCCGCUGAGUUAAGAAAGCCAGGCCAAGGGUUCGCUUGGGGGCCAGUAAUGGUCUUCGAGUGCCAGCCAUGUCCAGGGUGUAGACUCGGGGCGUGACAGAAACUAAAUAUGAAUUUAUAUAGGCAAAAUUGAGGAAUACCAUAAGACAUCAUAAACUUACAAAUUAAUGUUUGGAGGUUAUGGACAUCAAAAUUAUGAGAGUCUUGAAUAUUAUUAAAAAUAAAAAUUAAAGAGGUGUAGGUCAUGGAUAAUUACUCCGUGUAAAUAAAUUAAAUAAUAAAGAGAAAAACACUUAAAAUAUUAAAAUAUAUUAUCAUUUUAUGAUUAGAAGUGAGGCUACAAAGAAAAAAAGAAUGUGAAGAGCCUUUGUUAUACUUUUUUUAGCCUAAUUUUCUAUACUUUUUUCACUAACAAAAUGAAAUUGAAUUGCACUUUCUAUAUAUAAAAAAUAGAAACAUGUAAUGAAAAUCCCGGAAAUUGAAGUAAAAAAAAUCAACGUGAAUAUUUUCAUUCGUUUGAACUUCGAAGAAAGCAAAACAAAUAAAAGAAGAAAAAUAAUCUAAUAACUUCACUUCCAUUUUCCUAUCUUCCUUAUCGGAUUUACACUCUCGCUGGAAAAUUCACAUGACCUUUAAUUUCUGUCCUCUUUCUCCUCAAUUUGGAAGUCCAAGUUCUUGCUAUGUGUAAGAUCAAAAGAGAGUCAUAGUGUAGUUUUAGUAGUACUUAAUAUUCUCUUCAAUGUUUGUUAUUUAACUUGAAAUAAGAAACGUUUAGGUGCCUUUUUGGCUCUUUAACUUAUAUCUCAAUAGUUACGUGAGAAAGACUUCAAGAAUUAAGAAAAACACUAUUUCAAAUAUGAAAUAAAAAGAAUAAUAUUGAGUAAGAGUUUGAUGAAAUAAAAAAAUAUAAAUUUAUGUAGACAAAAUGGGAGGAAUCUUUAAAGAAAAUAUAAAUAGUUCUAUGUGCAAAAAUAUUUUUGAACCUUUGUUAAUAGUUUUAUUACACACAGAGUUUCAAUAACUAAUUUGCAUCUAAACAAAAAUACAUACUUGCAGUAAUAAAAAAAUAUAAAAAUUCAAACUAAAGAAGUUACAUAGAGAAAACAUAAACACACACAUCUUCCUUAGGACCACAUCAUAAGAAAAUAAAUAAAAAUAAGAAUAAAGAAUCAAUGGCCACUUUUUUGAGCUCUUGUGUGACACCCUCUUUGACAAACUAAUCAAUAUUCAAGAGUCUUCUUCAUCUUGUCAAGUUAAAGCAUGAAUUUGACAAUAUAAUAAUACUACAAAGAACAAUGAAAUAUAAAGAAUAAUCAUAAGUUGGGAUUUCAUGAAACAAAAAACUUGUGAAUUUAUAUAGAUAAAUAUAGAGAGAUAUCAUAAAGUAUCUUAAAAUUUUAUAAUUUAAUGGUUGGAGGUUAUGAAUAUGAAAACUUAAAAGUCAUGAAAUUAAUAAUAUUAUUAAGAAUAGAAAUUUAAUAGAUUUAAGUUAUGAAAGUGAAACUUAAAAAAUUAAAUAAAAUAAGAAAAAAAGAACAAAUAAAGAAAGAUAAAAGAAAUACAUUUAUAUUAUAUAAAGAUAUAAAUUUCUUGAAUUGAAUAAACAAAAAAAAAAGUGAAAAAAGAACCAAGACAGGAAAGACCAUUAAAAAAAACAACAAUAAAAUUAACUAUCGGGAAUAGUUUGCCGGAUUUUUAAAAAAAACCAAAUGAAAAGAUUUGCAAUACUUGAUGAGAAAUAGAGAAAUAAUUAGGAAAAGAGACUAAUAGCAUUAAGGACAAAAUAAAUUAAAUAUGGCAAUUGAUAAAGAUAUAAUUAAAUAUGAUUAUCUUUAAUAUUUUUUAAAUUUAGGUGAAUUUUUUUUGUAUUUUAAAAUUAGAAAAAGGUAAAAAAAACUACAAAAAAGAUAAAUAGGAUUGAAGCUCAUAGAGAGCGCCAAAUCACCGUUUUUACAUUUAGCUUUAUUAUUAUAUAUAGAUUAAUAUUUUUCAUCCUUUCAUCCAAAAGAUAAUGUUUAUGCUUUUAUUAAAAAAUUGUUACAUGAAUACAAAAACUAAAUAAAAUAUAUCAUGAUUAUUAAAUAUCAUAAUAUCAUGGGUGAAAAUAAUCAUGAUAUAACUGCAUAAAAUAGUAGUAGUCAAAUUUAAAGUUUCGAAACAUUAUUAAUAAUGCUAAUUUAGUAAAAUACACAUCUAAAUAAUUUUUUAGAAGGGAGUCAUAUAAAGAACGGCCAAAUAGUAUGAAACACAUGGAGUAAGAGAGUGGAGAAAGACAAAAAAUAUACACAUAUAUGCAUGUAUACACAUGUUUAAUGCAUAUAUUAUUGAAAUAACGGUCAUAAGAAUAAUGUUAAAUUUUGUGACAGAUCAUAAAAAUAUUAUUCUACUAUAAUAUUAAUAAACUUAAAGAAAAAGUUAUAAAUACUUGGGUUAAAAAAUAGAUUCCGAAAGGUUAAAUGCCUAGAUAACCCUUUGAUUGACAUGUUUUGUAAGAUAAACCUCCAAACUAAGUGACCAAAUAGACAUUUGAACUUGACAGAAAUGCUCUAGCCACUUUAGGUUAACAUGGCAAAUGGUGUGUUUUACACUAACAUUGAGAGAGUGAGUUUCUAUCCUUUUUAAAUAAUAGGUUAGAACAGUCAAGUUGGUUCACUCGAUCAAGUUAAGGCAUCGGAUUCCAGUCACGACUCGACUAAAAAACAGGUUGUGACACUUUUAUAAUUAAUCUGAUAAUUUUCUACCACCAGAUAGUAAAAUAUUAGAAUUAAAUCUUGAAUUAGUUCCAACAUUACCUUAUCAUCUUCUAGUAGUCGUAGGAUUUUGUUGAGAUUUUUUGUUGCUGCUGACUGGCCUUCUAUUGAUGUUCCCGGGAUGAACUCAACUUUUAUAAUCUGAUAAUUUUCUACCACCAAAUUGGAUCCAAAGUUUUCUCCGACCUCUAUAAGCCUGUGAAGUUGAUCUUGAAUCUUCUGUGCUUGAGUGGAGACUUCCGAGCGAAGGCUGCAUUUUGGACAACAUUUAUAUGCAAGCGUCUUAGCCGUUGCAAUGCUAUCUUGCAUAGAUUCCCAUUCUUUCUGCAGCUCGCAAACAUCUUCCAACCACUUGAUAACAUCUAGUUUUGGUUUAUAGCCUUCUCCCUCAGCUUCUUCCACCUUUCCUUUGAUAUCAUUUCUAAACUUUGUUAGCUUCUCCAUUUCCUCCUUUAGAUUUUCAAUUUUUGACGAGAAACGGACAAUAUUUUCAAUCUUAGGAUAGAUGCAUUUACAUACAAACUUUCCCACCUCAACAACAAAGCCACCUACAGCAUUAAAAAGUAUAUCCAUUGAACAAUUCUUUAGGUAAAUAAUUUUUUUUUUUUUUCUGAUUAGAACACUAAUGAUGCUCUCAAAGAUGGUCAAUUUAUAAACUGAGUGCUUCUUCAGUAUUUAUAGCACAAUUUUGAGAGAAGGUAAAAAGUAAAAAGUAAAAAGUAAAACAGAAAGCAAAUAGAAUAAGUAAAAUUGAAGGCAAAUAUGAUCAACAAAGCAAUACUUUAUUUUUGUAAAAUAUCUUGUCCCAUUUUGUAAAAUGAUUGUUCCAUUCUUAACUUCAUGAACAGAAUUGUCUUUAUUCUUUUCUUUGAUUCCUAUUUUCAGAAGCAUGAUGAAAUUGAACACGUAGUGCAGAUUGGGUGAGGAAAAAAUGAGAUACGAUUAAUGUCAAAAGUGACCAUUCUGCGAGCAUUUUAUGAACACACGAUAACUCAUGUUUGAUUCCUGUUUUCAGGAGCAUGAAAUCAAACACUCUAUUCUCUGCGGAUUUGAAGGCUUAACCAGAUUGAGAAAAAGAAGGGGAUGUGACCAAGUAGGUUGAAACUCCCGAGGCCGGUCUCAUAUUCAAAUCCCAAUGGAGGCAAAAACACUAGGAC